CCCACCACAGCGCUUCCUACGUUGGCAAAAAAAAAACCCAUCCCCUGCAAAAAAACGCUCCUCUCGAUCCCAUCUCCGAUCUUCCUGCCCCGACUCUUCGUAGCCGCCGCCCACGUACGAACUCGUUCGUUGCCGCCGCCGCCGUCCGAGGGGAGAUGCCGCCGCCGCGUCUCCAGGGCAGGGCGGCUUGAAUCCCUGUCGCCGGGAUCGCCCCCGCCGAACUCCGGGCCAUGGUGAGAUCCAGCAGGCCAUGGCGGCGACCAGCGCCGGGAUAGGACCAGGAGGCCGCCGGCGUCUCCCUGAUCCGUGACCCCGACGCCAUGGAGCUGCUCGUCAAGGCACGCGCGGGUCCAGCGGCAGGAAGGGCAGAGAGGAGGACCGAGCCCGCCGGUGCGCGUGACCAAGGGAUGUAACUGCCCGGAGCUACUUCGCCCUCGACGAAGAGGAGACCGCGGGCCAGAGCUCCUGGUCUCCCAGGGCCGCCGAGCGCAAGGAGCUAUUGCCAUGGCACCUCCUCGCUCGCCCUCGGUGCGGCGGCCGUGUAUAUGGAAUUGUGCCCUGGUGGGGCUCCGAGGGAGGAAACCGAUGAGCACAAGGCGCUACUGCCAUAGCGUCCGGAGGGAGGCAUGACGCGCAGGGCUACAGGGAAUCCGCCGACGAUAUAUGUGGCUUCUCCUAUGCCUGAUGGUGCUGUCAUUGCAGCGGCGGCAGCGGAUCUGAGUCCCACCUGCCGGGAUCGAACGACAGAUGGCGUGAGGCAGCUGGAUGCGAGUCCCACUCCCAACCUGAGGGCUCGACCUUCUCGAUUCCUGGCUGCGGCGGGUGCAGAACUCCGAAGUGACGGUGAACUCGCCGGCCUCGCACUGCCCCCACACAAGUGCCAUCAGAAAGCACUUCGCUCUGUUGCACACAAGCAAUAACUAUUUCUGCACCAAUCUGUCCGAAGAUAUAAAGUUUGAACCAGCCCUUAGCUUGCAUUUGGUCAGUUCAUCUUUCAGGAGAAUAUGCAUCUUACUUAGUUCGAGGUCUGACCUGACUCUUCUUUGUACGUAUGUAAUUGGUUUAUUUCUUGAUAGGUUGGUACUCUCUGAAUUUCUUGAUGAGCGUUCCCGUUGCUGCACCGCAUUGUGGCCGAGUCCUCUUCUUGGUCAUGCCAGUGACAUGAGCAGGAUGGUGUAUACCGGCUUCCCAGACAUGUGUCUGUCGAGGCCGCACCGGGUUUGUGGAGGUGAUGGCACGAGUAUUUACCAGGAUGCUUGGAGAUGCGUUGGCAUAUGUCCAGGUAAUGAAAUUGUUGGGAGUUAUUGCUCAACACAUAUCUGGCUAGACUAAAUAAUUCAGAUGGAUUGAAAUUUUUUGUCGGUAACGAGUUACACACAUCUGUAAUGCAGAACAACCUGGUCCACGCAUGGGGUCUGACUUGAAUAUUUCAGGAGAUGACUAGAUGUAAAUUUGACUUUCAGAUAAUACAUCUGUCAGUUGCGCAGAAUCAUAUAGAGCAGAUGGGCAUCGUUGACACGUAGUGCAUGACACAUUGCGUGAUUAACAUGCUCUUAGGCCAGCUAAGUAACAUAAGACAACUUUUGUAUGAAGAUCAGUUGUUCGGUUUCACUCUGACAGUUUAGAAGCUUUUGUUUGGCGUUUCUCUCAGCCGGAUAAUAGAGAAAAAGAGACUUACGCAGGGUCAUGGUUGCCGGGUUUUGCUGGCGUUGUGGUCCAUGCAUACCAAUUCUUUGAAUCAGUGCCACCGUGCAGUGAUGUAAGAAAAAGGUGUGUCGUUUGUCGACUGUGGGCAAUGGAGUGAUGUAGAUGUACUGUAGAGUACAUAUUCAAGGGAACAGUGAGGUGACUUUAGAUAGCUGUAAUGAGCUGAUAGAGCCUUUGACCUGAAGUUAUAUUUGUAUAGAUUACAUGAUUUGUUGAUGAGGAUAAGAAAGAGGAGCUGAUGGCAAACCAACCGAGGAAGGUCACCGAAGAUUGAGGUUGGGCGCGAUGCCACAUCAGAAGUUAUUUAGGCUAUGGGUGAGUUCGGGGCCAUGGAGUGAGCCGAUAGGAGGGUCGAGUAUGGUGCAUACAUGUCAACGUUGGUAGUCAGAACUUGAUGCUGAGUGUGGAUGGGAAUGAUGGGGUGAGGAUGGGCGUGCUUUACUCCAGCAAUUUGUCAUUGCCAAAUGGUUCAAUCCCGGUGAUGUCAUUGCUGGAUAUGCAAGGUCUCACUGGGCAAGGUAUUCGAAGUUCUUAAGUGCUUAGGAACCUCGUUGUGCUUUCGUAUUCACGUGAUUAGCAAGUGUAUUUACCGAAGCAUAGAUGUAAUGCGGGUUAUGUGUAGCACCGAAUCUGAGGUGGCUCCAAUCCGGUCGGUUCUGACAUUGGAGAGUUAAGACUGAAUCAGACUUAAUCAGAUGGCAUCAACACUAUGUUAAUCAUUGGAAGGUUUGCCGAGCGUUUGGGAAGAGAAGCAUGGUGCCAAUACAUACUUUUGGUUCUUAACCCAGAUGAUCUCAUUUAAAAUUGUUGGCGUUUGUUAUAACCAUUCUUGAUGAGCUGCACAACGCUUCAUGUAUUGCACUACUAAUGUCGUUUAUUUGGUGGUCAAACUCCUGUUCCACUCCUAUAUAGAUGCUAUGUAAAUAAUUUGUUUUGUUGAGUAAAAUCUGAAUAUAAGUGAAUCUAUCUUAAAUUAGUACAAUGAUUAUAA